AAAGUCGUAACAAGGUUUCCGUAGGUGAACCUGCGGAAGGAUCAUUAAAAGUAAAAUAUGUAUUCUCACGAAUAUACAUUUUGUAAACCCCAUCUGUGUACCUUACCUGUUGCUUCCGCUGGGCAGUGAUCUCGGUCACCUCCGCAAGGGCGGCUUUCAGCCGUCGGCGCGGGGAGUCCUCGCGGGUGGAUCUACAUCAAACUCUUGCAUUCCUAUGUCAUCUGUCUGAACCUGUUUAUAACAAAUGUUAAAACUUUCAACAACGGAUCUCUUGGUUCUC
rnacentral:misc_RNA from 1 species